UAACACGUGGGGAACCUGCCCCUAAGUCUGGGAUACCAUUUGGAAACAGGUGCUAAUACCGGAUAAUAAAGCAGAUCGCAUGAUCAGCUCUUGAAAGGCGGCGUAAGCUGUCGCUAAGGGAUGGCCCCGCGGUGCAUUAGCUAGUUGGUAAGGUAACGGCUUACCAAGGCGACGAUGCAUAGCCGAGUUGAGAGACUGAUCGGCCACAUUGGGACUGAGACACGGCCCAAACUCCUACGGGAGGCAGCAGCU
rnacentral:rRNA from 1 species